rnacentral:rRNA from 1 species
GAUGAACGCUGGCGGCGUGCCUAAUACAUGCAAGUCGAGCGAACGGACGAGAAGCUUGCUUCUCUGAUGUUAGCGGCGGACGGGUGAGUAACACGUGGAUAACCUACCUAUAAGACUGGGAUAACUUCGGGAAACCGGAGCUAAUACCGGAUAAUAUUUUGAACCGCAUGGUUCAAAAGUGAAAGACGGCCUUGCUGUCACUUAUAGAUGGAUCCGCGCUGCAUUAGCUAGUUGGUAAGGUAACGGCUUACCAAGGCAACGAUGCAUAGCCGACCUGAGAGGGUGAUCGGCCACACUGGAACUGAGACACGGUCCAGACUCCUACGGGAGGCAGCAGUAGGGAAUCUUCCGCAAUGGGCGAAAGCCUGACGGAGCAACGCCGCGUGAGUGAUGAAGGUCUUCGGAUCGUAAAACUCUGUUAUUAGGGAAGAACAUAUGUGUAAGUAACUGUGCACAUCUUGACGGUACCUAAUCAGAAAGCCACGGCUGACUACGUG